CUUAUCUUAAGAAUAUGCAGAUAUUCUCUAUCCUAAACUAUUCAUAUGUUGAAAAUAUAUACAUAUUAUCUUUUCACCAAAUAAAAAUCUCUUAUGUAACAUAAAUUAUAAUUAUGCUUCUUUUCGUAGACGAAGCAUGGUUAGGGAAUUUAUUAAUUGUGCUUUUUAGGUACUCCCAAAGAGUAUAUUAGUAAUUAUUCAAACGUCGAAGGGUUGAAUGGUAAUAUCUAAGAAAGGCAUUAGCAAUUUUUCUCUUCCUAACAAAAAUAUUAUCUCUCAUGUCCAAUUCUCUUUUCUCAAACCUCUACAUGAUGAAAGAUGCAGUUGUGUUUAAUGCCUAGGCUAGAAGAGGCAUUUUUAGUGGGUGUUUGGUCCUCCUUUGAUGAAUGGAGUUUGGCAUUCGGAGAAGUUGUAAUGUGGUAUGGUUGGUUGUCAAGGAAAAAAGAUUUGAGUGGAAAGGGGUUUAGGGUUUCGAAGGCCGGAUUUGUCCGUUUGUGUGUGGAAUUAACGGAGAUUAAUUCUUUGUCUCGGUUAGCGUUGAUAUUGCUUUUCAUCGCUCUCAAAACUUUUUAUUCGAACGAUGCUCCUCAUUUUAUGGGGGUUCAUAGCAUGCAUAUUGAGUCACUUGUAGUGACUCUUAUGGCUUGUGAGAAAAUCACAAGCAAGCAUGUUAUCAGCGUUACCGACUCGAUUCUUUACUACCCGAUCGGUUCUUUCCUUGGUUUCUAAAGCCUCCAGGUUCUCAAGGGUUUAUCCAUCCAACUGGAGCUCAAUCUCCUAUAUUAGAAUCACUAUUGAUAGUUGUGGCAAGUUUAAACAACCAAGUCACCGCAACACUCAAGGAUGCAUUAGAGAAACACAUGUUAGUGUAUUAGUUUCUUGUAAUAUGUUUUUAGUGUGUUAUAUCGGUGUUGUAAGGGUCUUUAAUGACCUUAGUGAUAGUGUUUAAACUCUUUUUAUCGAUGUAGAAUUUCACGAUGUAAAAAAAUAAAAAAAAUACAAAAGCUAUUCAUACCAAAUUUGUGUUACUAAAA